UGUGUGUGUGUGUGUGUGUGUGUGUGUGUGUGUGUGUGUGUGUGUGUGUGUGUGUGUGUGUGUGUGUGAGGGGAGGGACAGAGCAGGAUUUAGAGCAGGGCCAACAGGUCAGCAAUCUGGGGUAAUAAUUGCAAUGUUAUUUUCUCUCUUUAGCAACGCGGAUCUGCCUUAUGUCCAAUCUUGCCUUUUUGUUGUCUAAUUUACAGUGUUUUAUUAUUAGGCUUAUUCGCAUUCCCAUACUGUGACCACGGCACUUCCGCGCUGGGUCAAACUUUUAGCUUUGAAAAAUAAGUCUCGGGACGCCGCACUCUGUUGUUAAUUGAAUGGUCCCUCAGCCCAACCACAUCGCCCCGGGUAAUGUUAGACUCGACCCAAGCAACCUUCCUAGAAUUAACCCGGGGGAUGAGGUGGGCUGAGUUUGACCGUGGUCGUGGUGGUGGGAGUGGAACGAUCAAGGGACUUAAGGAAACACUAAGGCACAUAUUCUCAAACUCUUGGAAACCUUAGUACAUCUAUUUAAAAAGGCUCUCGCAGAAGUUGUAGGGGUCUCCAUGGGUGGUUUCUUGAUCCCAGCGGUAGUUUUGGAAAGCUUCUGCGCCAUGAACGGAAAAAACACUCAUGACAACUCGACGCAUCUCCUCUGUGGCCUUCAUAAACGGUGGUAACAAGAGCCCGAAAGGUGUGAUACUAUACGAGUCCAAGGCCAAUAUUCUCAAACCUUUCGUGGCUUACACACACACACACAAACACACACACACACACACACACACACACACACACACACACACACACACACACACACACUUAAUAAGGCUUUAGUAGAGAUUGUUAUGCGUAUUUUCAUGGUGGGUAGUUUGCCUAGUGAUAGUUUGACAAGGCUUCUACUGCGCUAUGAACGUCAAAAACACUCACGAAGACAAAGCUAAUCUCCUUGGUGGUCUUGGGAUGUGGUUUUUGUGGGAUCCGAAUGCGUCUGAGAAUACAGGUUGAGGCUCUAUGUUAGUAUUUCCAUGGUGGGUUAUUUUGUGAUCGAGCCUAGUGGUAAUUUGACAAGGCUUCUGCUGCACCGUGAAUGUGACAGACGCCCAUGAGAAGCCGGGUAACCUCCUCUGUGGCCUUGGGGAAUGGUCGUUGUGAGAGCCGAAAGCGCCUGGGAAUAGGGGCCUUAAAUUCCGUAACAUUCGGGCGUGUGUGCUGUCAGAACAUGCACCCGUAGCGCUAACAGGCCGGUGUAGAGUCAGAAUAUGAUGUGAUGGCUUAAUAAUGCGGAAGGAAGGAAGGAAGGAAGGAAGGGAGAAGUGGAAUAAGGGCGUGAAGGAAAGGUGGGAAGGAUGAAGAAAGGAAUGGAUGAAGGAAGGAAGGAAGGAAGGAAGGAAGGGAGAAGUGGAAUAAGGGCGUGAAGGAAAGGUGGGAAGGAUGAAGAAAGGAAUGGAUGAAGGAAGGAAGGAAGGAAGGAAGGAAGGGAAGUUGUAAGGGAUGGGAAGGAAAGGGAAGGGAAGGGAAGGAAGAAAGGAAAAGAAUGAAUGAAUGAAUUAGGGAAGAAAGAAAGUACUGGAGGAAGGAAGAGAAGGAAGGGAGGGAGGGAAGAAGGAAGGAGGGAAGGGAGGAGGCAAAGAAGGAAAGGAGAGAUGGUUUGCGUGCGCCUGUGUGUGUGUGUGUGUGUGUGUGUGUGUGUGUGUGUGUUCUUCUUAAUCAAUUAUAGCAAUACAUUUCAAGACGUCAGAUGAUAUUGUCCUUGUAUAUACAUAGGACUGAAGGGGUCUCAAAGUCAUCUUCAUAAUGGCCAGCGUAGUUUGUGUGAGAAGGAAGGGAAGGAAGGAAGAGCUGUGAGGAGAAGGAAAGACAGAGCAAUCGGCGUCUGAGAAUCUAUAAUCGGAGUAUUCGGCGUCUUAGAAUCUAUAAUCGGUGUAUUCGGCGUCUUAGAAUCUGUAAUCGGAGUAUGUGCGGGAAAAGUAUGCUGGUAUUCUCGAACGCUGCCACCCUACACAUCAACUAUUUCCAAAGGUCAUGAAGGAGAUCACUCGGGUUCUAAUGAGUGUUGUUUUAGGUUCAGGGUACAGGAGAAGGGUACAACUACCACCAGGGUUAUAAAACUACUACACCUGGAAUUGCUCAAAACUCAAACGAAAGUCUCGUCCAAUUUGUGAGCUUGGGCGCUGAAAUGUUUAAAGGGUCAUGAUGGAGAUGAGUCGGGUUCUAAUGAGUGUUGUUUUCAGGGCACAAAAUAAGGGUACAACUACCACCAGGGUUAUAAAACUACUACCCCUGGAAUUGCUCAAAAGUCACACGAAAGCCUUGUCAAAUAUGUUAGCAUGGGCGUUAAAAUAUUCAAAUAUAUCCGUAACGUCUCGAUAAUGCCUGCCGAGUUAUGUGAGAGGGAAAGGCAAGGGAAGGAAAGGAAUCGCCUGCAACAACAAUGAGGAUCAGGAGGGAGAGUUACGAGCCGUCUUAAUGAAACACUAAGAAGGUUCGAAUUCUCAGACGCUUUCGACUCUCGCAACAAUAUUUUUUUUACAGCAAGGGAGGCAAGGCAGCUCAAGGACACAACGUAAAAACAACAACAAGAAAGCCCGAUAGACGCUUCUCCGACUAUGAAUAAAAAAAAGACUAGAAAAGAGGUCAGUUUUGAAUGGAAAAGUUGGAAAGUUUCGUUUAGUCGGCGCAACAUCUGUGAUCAUAUGCCGUCAGUUUUGCAUGGAGAGGAGUCUUGAGUCGUAGGCAGAAGGAGAUAUCUACAGACAAAGGCCGCCAGGGAGAUGAGUCGGGUUCUCGUGAGCGUUUUUCACAUUCAUGGUGCAGCAGAAGCCUUGUCAAAUUAUCACGAGACUAAGUUAGGAGAGAUGGAAGUAUGUGUUAUGGAACGGGAAAGGGAUGUUGGGUCUAUGGAAGGGAUAGGAAGGAAUGGGAAAGAGUAGAGGAAUGGAGGUGGUUAUGUUAUAAUAUAUUAGGUUAGGUUAGGUUAGGAGAGAUGGAAGUAUGUUUCAUGGUACGGGAAAGGGAUGUUGGGUCUAUGGAAGGGAUAGGAAGGAAUGGGAAAGGGUCGAGGAAUGGAGGUGGUAAUGUAAUGUUAUGUUAUGUUAUGUUAGGUUAGGAGAGAUGGAAGUAUGUUUCAUGGUACGGGAAAGGGAUGUUGGGUCUAUGGAAGGGAUAGGAAGGAAUGGGAAAGGGUCGAGAAAUGGAGGUGGUUAUGUUAGGUUAUGUUAUGUUAGGUUAGGAGAGAUGGAAGUAUGUGUUAUGGAACGGGAAAGGGAUGUUGGGUCUAUGGAAGGGAUAGGAAGGAAUGGGAAAGGGUAGAGGAAUGGAGGUGGUAAUGUUAUGUUAUGUUAGGUUAGGUUAGGUUAGGAGAGAUGGAAUAGAUUAUCCUCGGACAUACUAACACAGCCUCUACCAAAGCCUUAUCGAAUGUUGGUGUGUAAGCUCUCGCAAGCAAUAUAUCCAAAGCCCACAAGGAAGACUCGGCUUCUCAUGAGUGUUUUUCGCAAUCACGGUGUAGCAGAAGCCUUGUCAAACUAUCACUAGGGUCACAAAACUACCCACCAUGGAAAUACCCCCCACAACACUAUCUACCCGAGCCUUAUCAAGUUUGGGUGUGUAAGCUUCGAAAUGUUUGAGAAUAUGAACCUUUAUCAGACACAGAAUGGUAGAUAUGGGGGGGGGGGAAUAUGGUAGCUAUGGAAGGGGGACUGGUGGAUGGAAGAAUGGCGUGUGUGAGUGUGUGUGUGUGUGUGUGUGUGUGUGUGUGUGUGUGUGUGUGUGUGUGUGUGUGUGUGUGCGCGCCCCCCGAAAUGUUUGAAAAUGCGGCCUUCGCAUAAAACUCCUAAUCAAGACAGCGGAUGAGCUCGUUGGGGCCGCUGCUGGUGUGUCAGUGUGGGGGAAUGAAGGGUCAGGAGGCUGCGUCUUUAAUAACGAUUGUAAAGGAGGAGGAGGAGGAGGAGGAGGAGGAGGAGGAGGAGGAGGAGGGGCACUUUAAAUUAAGGGACUCUUGUGUUCGUCUCGGUAUUGGCUCGUAAAGGCUGUGUGUCGUUGUGUAUGCGUGGGAGGGAAGGGGAAGGGCUUAGCUAAUGUCUUAAUAAGGGUUGUCAGGGGAGAGGAAGAGAGGGAGAGAGGAGGAAAGGGAGUAGAAAGGUUUAAGGUUUAGGUAAGGAGGACGCAAAGGAAAAAAAGAAGAAGAGAAAGGGGAAACGUUGAAAGUGAUAGCCAGGGAAGAAGAAGAAGAGAGAGGAAGAAAGGGAAGGGGAGUGGAAAGGUGUAGAAGGUUAAGUUGUAGUGAAAAGAAGUAAAGAAGAAGGAAGAGGAAAGGAAGAAGAAGGAAGGAAAAGAGGAAAGGUUUGAAUUGAUAAGGGUUGCCAGGGAAGAAGAAGAAGGGAGAGGAAGAAGAGGGAAAAGGAGUCGAGAGGUUGAAGGUUUAGGUUGCCGUGGGAAGGAGUAAAGAAGAAGGAAGGAAAGAAGAAGGAAGGGAAAGAGGAAAGGUUUGCAUUGAUAAGGGUUGGCAGGGAAGAGGAGGAAGAGAAGAAGAAGAGGGGAAAGGAGUCGAGAGGUUGAAGGUUUAGGUUGCCGUGGGAAGGAGUAAAGAAGAAGGAAGGAAAGAAGAAGGAAGGGAAAGAGGAAAGGUUUGCAUUGAUAAGGGUUGCCAGGGAAGAGGAGGAAGAGAAGAGGAAGAGAGGAGGAAAGGGAUUAGAAAAGUAGAAGGUUUAGGUUGUGGGAAGAAGCAAGCAAGGGAAUGGAGGAAGGAGGAAAGAAGAAAGGAAAUAAGGGAAAAUAAAGAAGAAAUGUAUAGAUUAAUAUCGAUACUCCCUUGUCAAGGAUGUAAGUCGUAUCAAAUUUGGGAAGGAAGAAAAGGCUCGGAAUGCAACCAAUGUCUUAAUCAAUAUAGCUCGUCGGGGAAAGAGAAAGGCAACUUAAUACUGAUACUCGCUGGUGAAAGAUGCAAGUUGUGUCGAGUGUGUGCGGAAAGGCAGGGCUCUCUUAAUAGGGCUCGUCGUGGGAAGAGGCAAGGAAGGAGUGACGGACAGAAGGGAGAAGAAAGAAGAAACGUUUGUCUCAGUGUGGGAAGUCUGGGCUCAGAAUAUAAGGUACUUUUUGCUAAGGGAUCGUUAGGGCAGGAAAGAGGGAGGUCUGCAGUGGACUAUACAGGCUGCGGAGGGUGUGAGGAGGAACGGAAAGAAAGGGAGAGAAAGAAGAAACGUUUGUGUCAGUGAAGAAACGUUUGUGUCAAUGAAGAAACGUUUGUGUCAGUGUAGGAAGCAUAUAAGGUUCGUCUUGCUAAGGGAUCGUAAGGGCAAAAGAGAGAGGGAGGUCUGUGGUGGACUUUCAGGUUGCAGAGGGUGUGAGGAAGGACGGAGGGAAGGAAGGAGGAAGAAAAAACGUAUGUGUCAGUGUAGGAAGUUGGUCAGUCAGAUUGUUUCAGUGUAGCAGCACGGAAUGUAGUCUUGCCUAGGGAUAGUCAGGGCAAUAGAGAGAGAAGUGUCUGCGGUGGACUCUUAAGGUUCCAGAGGGUGUGAGGAGUGUCAGGAAGGGUGGCUCUUGGGUUAGCGGGUUGACCUGACGUCUCGGGAGCGCAGGGCAACUGGGAACAAAGACAUUGGGUUCAUUCAAAAGGACUUACCUCCCCCUUACGCUAUACUGGCUUGGGAGGGCUUGCUGGCUGGCUGUCUGUUUGGCUGGUUAGUCAGGGGAUUAGUGUACUAGGAGAGAUUACUACUACUACUACUACUACUACUACUACUACUACUACUGCUGCUACUGCUAUUACUGCUGCUACAACUACUACUAUAUUCGCUUUUUUCCUCUUCCUCUCCUUUCUUCUUUCCCUCCCCCCCCACCUCUUACAGACCAUUCCAUUCCCUUUCCUCACUUUCUCCUCUUCCUCCUCCUCCUCCUUCUCCUCCUUCUCUCUUUACCUCUUCUACCUUCUCUUCCUAAUCUUUCUUCCAUCUUUUUAUCUCCCAUUCAUCUCUCAUCCCUUCUCUUACCUUCCUCUAACCCCGCCAACUCCAUCAUCUUACCUUCCUUCCUUCCUUCCUCCAUCCCUUCCUCUCACCUCCCUAUCCCUCUCCCCAAACCCCGUCAACUCUCCCAUCUUACUUUCCUUCCUUCCUUCCUUCCCUCUCCCCAUCUCUUCCCUUCGCCUCCUUACCUAUCCUCCACCUUCUAUUUCCUACCCACCAUUCCUACCUUCUCUUUCCUUCCUUCUUCUAGCCCCGUCAACUCCUCCAUCUUUCCUUCCUACAUUUCCAUCAUCCCCUUCUUCCUAUUCCUUUCCUACCUUCAACUAUCCAACCUUACCUUUCUUCCCUGACCCCGCCAACCCCCCCCAUCUUACCUACCUUCCUUCCUUCCUUCCA